rnacentral:rRNA from 1 species
GACGAACGCUGGCGGCGUGCUUAACACAUGCAAGUCGAACGGACAGGCCCUGCUUUUGUGGGGUGCUCGAGUGGCGAACGGGUGAGUAACACGCGAGUAACCUGCCCUUGACUUUGGGAUAACUUCAGGAGAAUGGGGCUAAUACCGGAUAGGAGCUCCUGCUGCAUGGUGGGGGUUGGAAAGUUUCGGCGGUGGGGGCUGGACUCGCGGCUUAUCAGCUGGAUGGUGGGGUAGUGGCUUACCAAGGCUGUGACGGGUAGCCGGCCUGAGAGGGUGACCGGCCACAUUGGGACUGAGAUACGGCCCAGAAUCCUACGGGAGGCAGCAGUGGGGAAUAUUGCACAAUGGGCGGAAGCCUGAUGCAGCAACGCCGCGUGCGGGAUGACGGCCUUCGGGUUGUAAACCGCUUUCGCCUGUGACGAAGCGUGAGUGACGGUAAUGGGUAAAGAAGCACCGGCUAACUACGUG